GGGUCAGUAGGUUGGUCGUGCCACCGGUACGUACUGGUCUCACUGAUUCCUCCUUCCUGAAGAACCGUAAUGCCACUAAUUUGGUGUUGCGGGGAAACAGGACCGUUACUUUGAGAAAAUUAGAGUGUUUAAAGCAAGCUAACGCUUGAAUACAUUAGCAUGGAAUAAUGAAAUAGGACGAUCGAUCCUAUUUUGUUGGUUUCUAGGAUUGACGUA
rnacentral:rRNA from 1 species